rnacentral:rRNA from 1 species
AGAGUUUGAUCCUGGCUCAGAACGAACGCUGGCGGCAGGCCUAACACAUGCAAGUCGAACGAAGGCCCUGUGCUUGCACAGGUGUCCUUAGUGGCAGACGGGAGAGUAACGCGUGGGAAUUUGCCCAGUAGUACGGAAUAACUGCGGGAAACUGCAGCUAAUACCGUAUACGCCCUACGGGGGAAAGAUUUAUCGCUAUUGGAUAAGCCCGCGUCGAAUUAGCUUGUUGGUGGGGUAAAAGCUCACCAAGGCGACGAUUCGUAGCUGGUCUGAGAGGACGAUCAGCCUCACUGGGACUGAGACACGGCCCAGACUCCUACGGGAGGCAGCAGUGGGAAAUAUUGGACAAUGGGCGAAAGCCUGAUCCAGCCAUGCCGCGUGAGUGAAGAAGGCCUUAGGGUUGUAAAGCUCUUUCAUCGGGGAAGAUAAUGACGGUACCCGCAGAAGAAGCCCCGGCCAACUCCGUGCCAGCAGCCGCGGUAAUACGGAGGGGGCAAGCGUUGUUCGGAAUUACUGGGCGUAAAGCGCACGUAGGCGGUUAGCAUAGUCAGGCGUGAAAUCCCGGGGCUCAACCCCGGAACUGCGCUUGAUACUGGCUAACUAGAGGUCGGGAGAGGGUAGUGGAAUUCC